GACCCUCUAAUCAAGGCUGACCGUUUUCCUCUGGUGUUCAGAGUUUCCAUCAUGUCUAGCACCAUUUGAAAUCGGUUACAAUGUGGGGGGAAAAUCAACAUU
rnacentral:pre_miRNA from 1 species